rnacentral:lncRNA from 1 species
AGAAAAAACAAAAAUUUCACUAUUGAUUUUUCCGAAGACUUCAUAGAAACUCCAAAUCACAGAGAAUGUCUUUUCUUUUUCUAUUGUGUCUGCUAAUUUAACCAUAAUGAUGUAAGUCUAAUCCUCAUAAUAGCCUUAUAAAAUAAGUGUUACUAUCUUUUUCAAAAGAGACGAGAAAAUGAUGGUUGAGAGAGGUUAAGUAAUUGUGGUACAGAAUUGUUGAAGUCAGCUUACAAAAUGUAGCUCUGUCUGGAACAACCCAACUUUUUCCCUCUGUGUGAUACUGCUUCUUAUUAUGUAGGCCAAGGUUGGACAACACGAACAAAAGAAAUCAAAAGAGAACUCAUUAAGACCUUGAACAUCAUGCUUCACCUAGUGAGAGAACGUGGACUUCUAGUUAGAAGAACUUGCAUUCUUCCACUGCAGUGCAAGAAAACACCUAGAUGGGGUUGUCAAGUCUCAUCCAUCAUCAAAAAUCAAGUCAGAAAUCUGAAUGAGAAUCUCUAGGCACUUCCAGUAAGUAAAUCAGUUGUUUUUCUUAAAUCAUGCUUCUGUGUUUUCUUUUGUAAGAUCUUCCAAAUAUGAUGCAGAUAUACUUCACCAAAAGACAAGAAAAUAGUUAACUUUACUAAAUUCAGAAUGAGGUAGGAAUCAUCAGACUUCUUAAGACAUUGUUCUCUUCUUUCUCAAUUGUAUUCAGAGCAAUUAAUGAAUAAAAGGAAGGCAUUAGCAAUGAAAUAAAUCUAUAGUUAGAAGAGAAGGGGAUUCUUCAGCUGAGUUUUAAAUGUGAAAUCAUGAAAAUCUAGCUUUUGAACUUUUAGGAUCAUAAAAGGGGAAGAGCGUUUCAGUUCCUUUGUAUCCUCAUUUAAACUUUUCUGAAUCUGAUUGUAUUUUCUUAUUAUUGCAUAAUAGUUCAGGGUAAAUUAGCAAAAAUUCAGAUUUACUGUUUUCCUGUAUAUACAUUAGAGGUAUUUGUAAAGCAGUUAAAAAAUUGCUAACUUUUUUUUCAAGGAAAUCUGUGUUGAACCCUCAGCUCUGCGAUUUAUCUUAUUAUUUGAGCAUGCUAAGCCUCGGUUACUACUAUUAGCUCCACAGUUUGCCUACACAGCCUGUAGUCCUUCUACUAAGCCUUACUUUGGAAGCUGGAUAUAACACAAUCUUAGAAAUGGU